UACGAAGGGGGCUAGCGUUGCUCGGAAUCACUGGGCGUAAAGGGUGCGUAGGCGGGGCUUUAAGUCAGGGGGGAAAUCCUGGAGCUCAACUCCAGAACUGCCUUUGAUACUGAAGAUCUUGAGUUCGGGAGAGGUGAGUGGAACUGCGAGUGUAGAGGUGAAAUUCGUAGAUAUUCGCAAGAACACCAGUGGCGAAGGCGGCUCACCGGCCCGAUACUGACGCUGAGGCACGAAAGCGUGGGGAGCAAACAGG
rnacentral:rRNA from 1 species